rnacentral:lncRNA from 1 species
UACGGUAUUUGAAUAUAAGUGAAAAUAAGCCAAAAUCAAAUUUUAGAAUAUGACCUUGACCUUUGACCUUGACCUUAUUUUCAUUUUUUUGGACCAAGGAACUUAAAUCCAAAGACCGUAGGCCUAUAUCACUGAUGGUUUACCAGUUAGAAACGCAUAUCACUUAUAUCAAAUGCAUAAGGGGAAAUAACUCUCAUAUGGAGUCUCCGGAUAGCUUAUUUAAAAAUCAAAGAACAAUUGUAGGUCUUUCCACAAGUAAAGAUCUAUUUUAUUAUCAAAAUAUUAAAAAUCAAUCUAAAAUGUCAGUUCCUAUGACUUUAUAAUGUAUAAAUAUGAAUUUAAAGCAAAGGUCAAAAUCUAGAACGUCCUAUUAACCUUUGACCUUGACCUCAAUUUCAAGGUCACCAACCAAGGACCUCAAAUAAAAAGACCCUAGGUCUGUAAUAUGUAUGGUUAAUGAGUUAUAUCACUUUAGGCAUGAUUUUAAAUAUAAGAUGGGCGAAAACUCUCAUUUAUUGUUUACGCACCCUUCCAACCAAAAUUUAUAAGUUACAACAUGUCGCAACUCACAAUUUAGUAAAAAUAAUUUGUCAAUAUCUUUCACGGUUGUUGAAAAUAAGAGAAAAUAAGCCAAAAUCAAAAUUUAGAAUAUGACCUUGACCUUUGACCUUGACCUUAUUUUCAUUUUUUUGGACCAAGGAACUUAAAUCCAAAGACCCUAGGCCUAUAUCACUGAUGGUUUACCAGUUAGAAACGCAUAUCACUUAUAUCAAAUGCAUAAGGGGAAAUAACUCUCAUAUGGAGUCUCCGGAUAGCUUCGGUCCAAAUGAAUAUCCUAAUCCUGAAGAAGUAACGAGCAAUUUGGUAAAAUAAAUUUGUCGUAAUCUUUUACGGUUGCGAAGGAGUAGUGGCCACAAGAAAAACAGUGUUCGGGGAGAUAACUCAUACAACGUAAAGUAUUUUGUUAUGCUGUUGUAAAUUUUUAAAGCGUAUAAACUAUACGAUAUCAUAUUCCAAAUAUCUAAGCGACAAUUUAUUAAACAACAAUACUAUGCAAGAAAAAAAUUUAGGCGGAAGAAAAAAAAAAAUAAUAAUAAUUAAAAACCAAUUGUUCAGAGAACAAUUGAAGGUCUUUCCACACUUAAAGAUCUAUUUGAUAUGAAAACAUUGAAUUCAGUUUAAAUUUCAGUUCCGAUGGCUUUAUUAUUUUUAAAUAUGAAUUUAAAGCAAAGGUCAAAAUCUAGACCGUCUAAUUUAACUAUGACCUUGACCCCAAUUUCAAGGUCAUAAACCAAGGAUCUCAAAUCAAAAGACCCUAGGUCUGUAAUAUGUAUAGUUAAUGAUUUAUAUCACUUAACGCAUUAUUCUAAAUAUAAAAGGGGAGAAAACUCCCAUUUACGGUCAACGUACCCUCACAAUCAAAAGUCAAGUGUUACGACAUGUCGCAACUAACAAUUUAGUAAAAAUAAUUUGUCGUAAUAUCUUAUAAGGUUUUUGAAAAUAAGUGAAAAUAAGCCAAAAUCAAAAUUUAGAAUAUGACCUUGACCUUUGACCUUGACCUCAUUUUCAUUUUUUUUGGACCAAGGAUCUCAAAUCAAAAGACCCUAGGUCUCUAUCACUUAUGGUUUACCAUUUAGAAAUGCAUAAUACAUUAAUUUACAAAUGGAAAAGGGGGAAUAACUCUCAUAUGGAGUUUUCGUAAAGCUUCGGUCCAAAUGAAUAUCCUAAUCCUGAUAUAUGUAACGAGCAAUUGGUAAAAUAAAUUUGUCGUAAUCUUUUACGGUUGCGAAGGAGUAGUGGCCACAAGAAAAACAGUGUUUGGGGAGAUAACUCUUACAACGUAAAGUAUUUUGUUACGCGGUUGUAAAUUUUUAAAGCGUAUAAACUAUACGAUAUCAUAUUUCAAAUAUCUAAGCGACAUCUUAUGAAACAUCAAUACUACGCAAGAAAAAAAUUUAGGCGGAGAAAAAAGAAAAAUAAUAAUAAUCAGAACAAAUUCAAUAGGUCUUUCCACGGAAAAGUGGAAAGACCUAAUAAUAAUUAAAAACCAAUUGUUCAGAGAACAAUUGAAGGUCUUUCCACUAGUAAAGAUCUAUUUUGAUAUUGAAAUAUGAAAAAUCAGUUUAAAAUGUUAGUUCCUAUGGCUUUAUGAUGUAUUUAUAUGAAUUUAAAGCAAAGGUCAAAAUCUAGAACGUCUUAUUAACCUAUGACCUUGACCUCAAUUUCAAGGUCAUAAACCAAGGACCUUAAAUCAAAAGACCCUAGGUCUGUAAUAUGUAUGGUUAAUGAGUUAUAUCACUUUAGACAUGAUUUUAAAUAUAAGAUGGGCGAAAACUCUCAUUUAUUGUCUACGCACCCUUCCAACCAAAAUUUAUAAGUUACAGGACAUGUCGCAACUAACAAUUUAGUAAAAAUAAAUUUGUCGAUAUCUUUAACGGUUGUUGAAAAAUAAGUGAAAAUAAGCCAAAAUCAAAAUUUAGAAUAUGACCUUGACCUUUGACCUUGACCUUAUUUUCAUUUUUUUUUGGACCAAGGAAGACCUCAAAUCUAAAGACCCUAGGUCUAUUAUCACUUAUGGUUUACCAGUUAGAAACGCAUAUCACUUAUAUCAAAUGCAUAAGGGGAAAUAACUCUCAUAUGGAGUCUCCGGAUAGCUUCGGUCCAAAUGAAUAUCCUAAUCCUGAAGAUGUAACGAGAGCAAUUUGGUAAAAUAAAUUUGUCGUAAUCUUUUACGGUUGCGAAGGAGUAGUGGCCACAAGAAAAACAGUGUUUGGGGAGAUAACUCUUACAACGUAAAGUAUUUUGUUACGCAGUUGUAAAUUUUUAAAGCGUAUAAACUAUACGAUAUCAUAUUCCAAAUAUCUAAGCGACAUCUUUUGAAACAUCAAUACUACGCAAGAAAAAAUUUAGGCGGAAAAGAAAAAAAAAAUAAUAAUAAUUAAAAACCAAUUGUUCAAAGAACAAUUGAAGGUCUUUCCACAAGUAAAGAUCUAUUUUAUUAUCAAAAUAUUAAAAAUCAAUCUAAAAUGUCAGUUCCUAUGACUUUAUAAUGUAUAAAUAUGAAUUUAAAGCAAAGGUCAAAAUCUAGAACGUCCUAUUAACCUUUGACCUUGACCUCAAUUUCAAGGUCACCAACCAAGAACCUCAAAUAAAAAGACCCUAGGUCUGUAAUAUGUAUGGUUAAUGAGUUAUAUCACUUUAGGCAUGAUUUUAAAUAUAAGAUGGGCGAAAACUCUCAUUUAUUGUUUACGCACCCUUCCAACCAAAAUUUAUAAGUUACAACAUGUCGCAACUCACAAUUUAGUAA